UCUAGUGGCGGACGGGUGAGUAACGCGUGAGAAUCUGGCUCCAGGUCGGGGAUAACAGUUGGAAACGACUGCUAAUACCGGAUGUGCCGAGAGGUGAAAGAUUUAUUGCCUGGAGAUGAGCUCGCGUCUGAUUAGCUAGUUGGUGGUGUAAGGGACCACCAAGGCGUCGAUCAGUAGCUGGUCUGAGAGGAUGAUCAGCCACACUGGGACUGAGACACGGCCCAGACUCCUACGGGAGGCAGCAGUGGGGAAUUUUCCGCAAUGGGCGAAAGCCUGACGGAGCAAUACCGCGUGAGGGAGGAAGGCUCUUGGGUCGUAAACCUCUUUUCUCAAGGAAGAAGAAAGUGACGGUACUUGAGGAAUAAGCAUCGGCUAACUCCGUGCCAGCAGCCGCGGUAAUACGGAGGAUGCAAGCGUUAUCCGGAAUGAUUGGGCGUAAAGGGUCUGCAGGUGGAACUGAAAGUCUGCUGUUAAAGAGUUUGGCUUAACCAAAUAAAAGCGGUGGAAACUACAGAACUAGAGUGCGGUAGGGGCAAAAGGAAUUCCUGGUGUAGCGGUGAAAUGCGUAGAUAUCAGGAAGAACACCGGUGGCGAAAGCGUUUUGCUAGACCGUAACUGACACUGAGGGACGAAAGCUAGGGGAGCGAAUGGGAUUAGAUACCCCAGUAGUCCUAGCCGUAAACGAUGGAUACUAGGCGUGGCUUGUAUCGACCCGAGCCGUGCCGGAGCUAACGCGUUAAGUAUCCCGCCUGGGGAGUACGCACGCAAGUGUGAAACUCAAAGGAAUUGACGGGGGCCCGCACAAGCGGUGGAGUAUGUGGUUUAAUUCGAUGCAACGCGAAGAACCUUACCAAGACUUGACAUCCUGCGAAUCCUGGUGAAAGCUGGGAGUGCCUUAGGGAGCGCAGAGACAGGUGGUGCAUGGCUGUCGUCAGCUCGUGUCGUGAGAUGUUGGGUUAAGUCCCGCAACGAGCGCAACCCUCGUUUUUAGUUGCCAGCAUUAAGUUGGGCACUCUAGAGAGACUGCCGGUGACAAACCGGAGGAAGGUGAGGAUGACGUCAAGUCAGCAUGCCCCUUACGUCUUGGGCUACACACGUACUACAAUGCUACGGACAGAGGGCAGCGAGCCAGGGAUGGCAAGCGAAUCCAGAAACCGUAGCUCAGUUCAGAUCGAAGGCUGCAACUCGCCUUCGUGAAGGAGGAAUCGCUAGUAAUUGCAGGUCAGCAUACUGCAGUGAAUUCGUUCCCGGGCCUUGUACACACCGCCCGUCACACCAUGGAAGUUGGUCACGCCCGAAGUCAUUACCCCAACCGAAAGGA
rnacentral:rRNA from 1 species